rnacentral:rRNA from 1 species
UACGUAGGGUGCAAGCGUUGUCCGGAAUUAUUGGGCGUAAAGAGCUCGUAGGCGGUCUGUCACGUCGGCUGUGAAAACCCGAGGCUCAACCUCGGGUCUGCAUCCGAUACUGCCCGGCUAGAGGUAGGUAGGGGAGAUCGGAAUUCCUGGUGUAGCGGUGAAAUGCGCAGAUAUCAGGAAGAAACACCAAUGGCGAAAAGCAGCUUUCUGGGACGGUACUGACGCUGAGACGCGAAAGCGUGGGGAGCGAACAGG